UUCUCAGUUCGGACUGCAGUCUGCAACUCGACUGCACGAAGCUGGAAUCGCUAGUAAUCGCGGAUCAGCACGCCGCGGUGAAUACGUUCCCGGGCCUUGUACACACCGCCCGUCACACCAUGGAAGUCUGCAAUGCCCGAAGCCGGUGGCCUAACCACUUAUGUGGAAGGAGCCGUCUAAGGCAGGGCAGAUGACUGGGGUGAAGUCGUAACAAGGUAGC
rnacentral:rRNA from 1 species